rnacentral:lncRNA from 1 species
AAACCCUAAAAAUUGAUCAAAAUUUAGGAGGAGAAGUUUUGCUCUUGAUUUGUUCAAGGAGGACACCUUAAAAGGUUAGAACACACUUUUUAAACCUUAUUUCCUCUACUUCUUCACCAUUUGGGGCUCUCUAGAUUUAGAUCUAUGGAGGAGAGAGAAAAUAGUGGUUUGUUAGCUCUAGAUCUGUUAUCAUGUUUGUAAUACUUCUUUUUUAUUGAGCAAUAAGGUUUGUAGGUAUGAAUAGGUUUGAAUGGAUGUACCGGAUGAAGCGAAUGGAACCAUAGUACUUGGUCAUGUGAGGAAGUUUGUUGCAACCACAAAAGCUCAUCGUCAGAGUUUAGAUCGGACAACAACCAUAUGCUUGUGUUCUCGUUGCAAGAACAUGAAAGGCCACGC